CUUGUACACACCGGCCCGGUCACACCAUGGAGUUGGUUCUACCCGAAGGCGAUGCGCUAACCCGUAAGGGAGGCAGUCGACCACGGUAGGGUCAGCGACUGGGGUGAAGUCGUAACAAGGUAGCCGUAGGGGAACCUGCGGCUGGAUCACCUCCUUUCUAAGGAUACGUUUCCAGCAAAGCUCUCACGAGGUUUGUUAUUGAUUUCCAAUAAAAUGCGGUUCCCCGCCGUCUUCGUUUCUCUUUCCUAUUUCAUGCCUUACGGCGCCGGACACUGGUCUGGCUUGUGAGGCAUGCGAUCGCGAGCCUGGUCUUUGUUGACCGGCUGUCGUGCGGCCAUAGGCCCGUAGCUCAGCCUGGUUAGAGCGCACGCCUGAUAAGCGUGAGGUCGGCAGUUCGAGUCUGCCCGGGCCUACCAGCCCCCACCAGACUAGUUCUGCUGGACUGAAAGCAGCAUGACCCGCACCGACAAGCUCUCCUGAGCCUCGCACUGUUCCUUGGAAUGGGGCCGUAGCUCAGUUGGUAGAGCGCCUGCUUUGCAAGCAGGAUGUNGUCGGUUCGACUCCGUCCGGCUCCACCAGGACAGUCCCUAAAGGGCUAUCGCCUAGCGGCUACUUGAGCCCGGCGAACCUGAUCGCAUCAAGAGAUUGCCUCAGCUGCCUUGCAGCUGACGGCAUUGAUAUUGUGAAGGAAGAAUUGAUCCGGCCUGUUCAUAGGCUUCCAGGAUCCGUUCGAGAGAAGACAUUGUCUGACAAAAAUCAGGCAGGAACCCGCUGGCAUUUCUUUCCAGUCAGCGGAUUAUUUCCUGCAUGAGUUUUGCUGAGAAACGAUCAAACGUUGAAGGGCUUCUGACGGAUGCCUUGGCGUAGAGAGGCGAUGAAGGACGUGGCAAGCUGCGAUAAGAACCGGGGAGGCGCUAGCACCCUUUGAUCCGGUUAUUUCCGAAUGGGGGAACCCACCUUUACAGUCUUCCAACUUUGCUCUCCCUCGGGAGGGUACGGAUUGGCGGAUUGUUCAAAGGUAUAAUGACCUGAAUACAUAGGGUUCAUUAAGCAAACCCGGGGAACUGAAACAUCUAAGUACC
rnacentral:misc_RNA from 1 species